UAAGGGUGUCCCAGUAGAGGAGCUAAGUCAACAAUAGGGCACAUAGUAAUAGAGUGAAAGAGCAGUCCAGCCCUUAUUAGGCCGACCUCAUCAAUCCUUCUUGAUGCGACCAGGUGACACCACACAUGCAUGUCUGGCCCUGGCUGACUCCAAGUCCUUUUUAACCUGCAGAAAGAAAACGAAGGAGGCAACUAUAAAUCUAUCCACCAUUUUGUGUCCGUGUGUGAGUGUAUUAAUCCAGGUGAAUGGACGUCACUCCGCUUCAAUGCCAAAUAUUGUUUUUAAAGUCGGUUGUUUGGCUCCAUAGGUUUCACAGACUGGUCAAAGGUCUUUAUUUAUUAUGUUACAUCUCAGGUGAAGCCUGACUCGUUCCAGGAAGUAGCUCACCUGUGUCACAGUGUUUAGUGUCCAGUCUCAGUUUAUGGCUCAGCUCUUUGGACUUAACUUCAUCAACUUCUGUCAUGUUACUGUUUGUUUCUGCUCUGUGGUGUUUGGGCCACAUCUACUUUCUCCCUUUUUCUUCUUCUGUUUAUUUGAAAGGGACAGAGCAGUUAAUGAACAAACAUACAUCAAUGUAUACAUGCUGGAUUACAGCAGAAAUGCUCAUUUCCAUCCGUAGUCCCUGUUUAUUAUUAGAUUACUGAUUGACUGGAAUCAGAUAACGUACACCCACUGACUGACGGAACGGCUGUGGAGAGGGCGAGUAAUGUGAAAUGCCUUGGUGUCCACACUGCUGGUGACCUCCCCUCAUCCUCCAACACCACAGCAGUCAUCAAAAAAACUCACUUUGCAGACUCAAGGAAACCGGCCUCCCCACCUCACAUCUCCUCCCAUUCGACAAAGGUACUGUGGAAAGCAUCAUCGCCUACAGUUUCACCUCCUGCUUUAGCAGUUGCAGCUAAAAGGAAUAAAAGCAGCUGAACAGAACUGUGAAGGCGGCCAGCAAGAUCAUCAGCACUCAACUUUCCUCCUUGUUGGAAUCAUACAAGCAGAGCUGCAUCCAUAAAGCCACCUCCAUCAUUAAAGCCUCACGUCAUCCCUCCCAUCACAUCUUCUCCCUACUCCCCACAGGGGAGAAGAACACAUGCAAGCAUUAUCUGUAGAACAUCCAUUCCUCAGGCUGUGGGGAUGAUCAGUGGACUGUCCACCCUUCCUAAAUUAACAUCCUCAUUUAACCUCCUUCUACCAGUUAAACCAUGGAUGAGAAACAGUAUUUCAUUGUGUACACAGAGAGAAAUGACAAUAAAAUAAUCUUGAAUUAAUGCCAGACACAAGUACUGUGAAACCUUAAAAAACAAAAAACAAAGAUGAAGUAUCAGAGUCGGCACUUGUGUAAUUGCUCUUUACUUUUACAGUUUAAGAAAAAAGGGUCACUGGAGGAGCAGCUGAUGCUUUUACAGCAGGAAUGAUGUCAAGGAUUUGAUGUUCAGGUGAAUGAUUCGUGUUUCCUCUGCAGGUGAAGGUAGAAAGUGUGUGUGAGCUGAUGUGAAUCCAGCAGAAUGGAUCAGUGUGAGGACAGAGAGGAGGGAGUCCUCAGAGAGGAGGACGGUAUCACUGAAUAUAAACAAAAACUAAGGUCCCAUAAGAGAGCAGACUCUCUUGAACCUGGUCCCAGUUGUGUGUCCUUCAAGAGCGACAAGUCGAUGGGUCUCUACAAUGAUUUUAAACGAGGACAAUCUUCUGCUACAAACAGAAAACUUUCUGUGUUGUGUUGAAGAACAAAGCAGCAGUUCAGACCAGAGACGCCUGAAUCUGAACCUGGUCCCAGCUGUGUGUCCUUCAAGAGCGACAAGUCGAUGGGUCUUUACAAUGAUUUUAAACAAGAACAUCCUUCUGAUGCAAAGAGGAGGAAGCUGGAAAAUCAAACCCCACCUGAACCCAAAGCCAGCAGGGCGUCUAAGAAGAGAGGAUGGACUGAGAAGGAAGAUAAGAUAUCAAGGAAAAGGAGUCACUCUGUGGAUCGGAUAGUGAAGCAGCAGAGUUUAAAUGUUCUCAGUGGUCAGUCUGUUCAUCAGCAUCAAACA